AGACGUUUCUAGAAUACGAUUGUUCCGUGAUUUACGCUCUAGAAAUGAUGAAACUUGAUGAAGCACAGAAUCUGCUACCAGUGGGCUCGCGUGGUUGUGAGGAGGGCCGAAGGCUUUAGAGUCCACGACGCGCGCUCUACGUCAAAUACCUGCAGAAAAGGAGGAGAAUCGGCGACUCACGUGGGAGGCGGCGAUUCGGGCUCCUUGGUUGCUCUAGUGUGGAGUGUUGUGAGUCAAGUGGAGAUGAGAUGGAGGACACCCCUAAGGCCCCUUUUAUAGAGUCCUGGUGACGUUUCCCCAUUCAUUAGCGUGGGCCCCACUCCAUUAUGGUGUCCAAUUAAGGGUGCCAUAAUGACGUGGGUCCUCCCAAGUAACGCCUGAGAGUCGACGACUCAGGUAUGAAAGUCGCCGACUCAGAGGUGGAGUCGCCGACUCCCUUGUGGUCAGGUCAUCGGUCUACCAGACCCGAGUGCCCUGUUCGAAGUCGGCGAUGCACCCCUGGAAUCGACGACUUGGUAGUCUUAGUCGGCGAUUCCCAGGUGUUGCCUUGAGUACUUGACGUAGACACUUGCUCCGCACCGUGGAUGCCUUCCGGGGGUUCGGCGUAAAGCGACGAAACCCUAGUCUUUGUUGAAGGGUGUUGCUGGGAAUGACUGACGUAAUCAGGCAUGCCUCACCAAAACUGAUACCUUUGGAUGAGCCUAGGAGUCCCCUUUUAUAGGACCUCUGGGGGCGUAAUCCGUGGCGGAGAUCGCGUAUGAUCAUAAUGAAGGCCAUUAUUUAUGGCUCAAGCUGGAUGCUAGUAACGAUCCAAAUCGGCGAUUUCGGAGUGUAACCGAUAAGUUGCGG
rnacentral:lncRNA from 1 species